UACAAUUCCGCAGUGGAAGAGGGAUGGAGGAUAUACUUACAUGCGGGCGCGACAGAUGUUGGGAACCCAGAGUGACAAGCGCAAAAUGCUGGAGGAGCUCAGCAGUUGAAUCCUUGUUCCACGCAAAAUGUUGGAGGAACUCAGCAGGCCAGGCAGCAUCCAUGGAAAAGAAUCUGUGUUCUUUACCCCGCGUUGUGUUCGAACACUUAAAAUUAGCAAUGGACGUUUUUUAAAAGCUGAAUUGGGGAAGGGGUUGGAGAAACAUUGGGCGUGGAAUUCUGUCCCAGUCGAGAGUCCCGAAGGCUGGAACCGGGUGGGAGCGGAUACUACGGAUCUGCCUCUUCAAGCGAUCUUGACACCCUUCGAACACGAAAUCUCGGGUAAAA